rnacentral:rRNA from 1 species
UACGGGGGGGGCAAGCGUUGUUCGGAAUUACUGGGCGUAAAGGGUUUGUAGGUGGCCCGCUAAGUCACACGUGAAAUCCCUCAGCUUAACUGGGGAACUGCGUCUGAGACUGGUGAGCUUGAGUGCAGGAGAGGAACGCGGAAUUCCAGGUGUAGCGGUGAAAUGCGUAGAUAUCUGGAGGAACACCGGUGGCGAAGGCGGCGUUCUGGACUGCUACUGACACUGAGGAACGAAAGCCAGGGGAGCAAACGGG